GUAGGUGGCAAGCGUUGUCCGGAAUUAUUGGGCGUAAAGCGCGCGCAGGCGGUUCUUUAAGUCUGAUGUGAAAGCCCACGGCUCAACCGUGGAGGGUCAUUGGAAACUGGAGAACUUGAGUACAGAAGAGGAAAGCGGAAUUCCACGUGUAGCGGUGAAAUGCGUAGAGAUGUGGAGGAACCCCAGUGGCGAAGGCGGCUUUCUGGUCUGUAACUGACGCUGAGGCGCGAAAGCGUGGGGAGCAAACAGGGAUUAGAUACCCUGGUAGUCCACGCCGUAAACGAUGAGUGCUAAGUGUUAGGGGGUUUCCCGCCCCUUAGUGCUGCAGCUAACGCAUUAAGCACUCCGCCUGGGGAGUACGGCCGCAAGGCUG
rnacentral:rRNA from 1 species